rnacentral:lncRNA from 1 species
CUUUCCCAAGGUCACCCAGAAGAAGGAUUUUUGUCACACAAGCCAGCACUGGUUAGCAUACCACUGGGCAUGAAGGAGAAACAGAAACUCAGAAGAACUCUGUCUCUGUUCUCCAUCAGUCAUAUAGGCAUCAACAGAGAACCCAAGGUGGUGAGGUCCCUGGAAGCCAACGGCUCAUGGCUUUGUCAAAUGGUUCAGCUUCGAAAACAAGUUGUCCUUCUUGGCUCCAAGUGGUGUUUAUUCAAGCUACUUGAGAAGAUAAUGAAGAGCUCCAGUCUUUGUCUUUGCCUUUGGAUGCUUGUCUCCAGUUUCUUCAGUCUCCCCGUGCAGACUCUACCUCCCAGUGUAGACUCACACCAGCAACUCUGCAGUGAGCUUCCAGGCCUUCAGCCUUUGCUACUGGAUCCUCCAGCUCCACAGCAUGCAGAACGCCAUUUUGGAUUCUUCACCUCUGAUCUCACAGAUGGCCAUUGUGACUCUUCUGCCUCUGAUCCUGG